rnacentral:lncRNA from 1 species
AAACAUCCACGCUUUCUCUACUUAUAAAUGCCAGCCUUGGUCUCGCUCUUGAGAGCGCCUGUUCUACUUGACUCCUUUUUCCCUGACUUGUUUCCGUCGGAGCGUUCUGCGGUCAUGUCUUCUUCAUCUUCUUCUUUUUCCUCUGUUGACCAGGUAAGAGAUCUGCCUCCGCCUUCUUUUAGUUCGAUUCCCCUAAAACACUUCAUCUUAGGAGGUUAUAUGUUGUCUCUUUUC